CUAGAGAGAACGCAGGUUUAAAGACUCUUCAUCAUUGACUUCUAUAGGAGCAGAGGAGUCGCCCCCUGCUGGCUGCUAGACAGGAUACAGGUUUAAAGCUUCACUUCUCAGACCCGGAGAACGCCCACAAAUCACGUGACAGUUAUGUGCCUACUUAGAAACAACAUAGUGCGAACACUGCUGUCAAGUAGAGGUUACAGAUUACCAACUCUCCUCAAUGACACGCAGUCGAUCCUUUGAUUAGGAUCACAUCAGUUAAAGGGCUAUCCAACAUGUCAUUCAUAAGAAAGGUUCCUAUAAUGAAAUGGAUUUUCUAGACUUUCUUUGGGCUCCUACUCAGUGAACUAACCUGUUACAUGAGAGUCCUGACCUCCACUCUUCUACUGUACAUGUGAGAGAAGUCAUCCUGCAGUAAUCCCAGCCUAAUCUUCACAGUGUAUAUAUGUAUAUACAUAUAUAUAUAUAUAUAUGCUAGCUAACGCAGGUAUAUAUUGAUUGUGUUGUGCUUGUUGUUCAGGAGUGUGCAUUCCUGAAUCUUUGCAGUCAGAAGGGUUGUAGCAAGCAGAGCUCAGAGUUUGAUGGAGGAAGGUUAUACAUUCAUUCAACGGCACUGUGUGUGGAAUGCCAAAUGACAGAGGGAUGCUGGGAGAUCAGGCGUGCGUGUGUGUGCGUGUGUGUGUGUCUAUAUACACGAGUAGCACACCAGCCAAAGUUUCCAUGAAAAAUUAAGAUUCUGCUGACACGGCAGUUUGGGAAAACAAAGAGGGAGAAUUGAUUCUUCCAACUGCACAGUACAGUCUCAUUAUGAGAGGCCCAAUCUGUACAUCUCACUCUUCAUACUCUGCUGCCAUAAUAAAGCUUCCUAAUUACCUCGUCUAGUGACAGGACAGCCAUAAUGCUGCUGGUAAAUACACACUGCUUAAUUGCAUUCCUUCUAAUAUGAAACAGACUUUUAUCACGUCUUAAGCACAAUCUAAAGGCCUACUUGUUUCUAAAGACUCAACAUGUAUCUGCUGCAUCUGCAUUUCUUUGUAAAAAGGACCUUCUUCUAAGGAGGGGCACUAUGUUCCAUCACUAUGUUGCAUCACUAUGUUCCAUCACUAUGUUCCAUCAUGUCCAACGCUUGAAAAAUACCAGACGAAAAAAAAAACUGACAGCUCGAGCAAAAUAUCAUGUUUUCAUUCUUAAAGCCCCCCCCCCCCGGUCAUCACAGCAGUGUUCAGAUGGAGCAGGAAAGACCCCGCUAUGACUCAGGGACAAGGUCUUCUCAUCGCUGACCACCAGAUGUAGAACAAACACUGAGCCAGAAAAAGAUCCAGCUGGGAAAACACAAGAGGUCAUGAUGACGAUCAUCCUAUUUUACAGAAGCUGCUCUGGUCGCUUUUCAAAGAAAACACAGGCCAGGAUAUCACACACACACGCGCACGCGCGCACACCAGAUUUACAGUGGUAAAUGGACUAUUACAUCCAAUUGCCACACACAGCAUGAGGGAAUUUGUCUCUUUGCAAAUCCCCUGAGACACAAACACAGAGACGGCAGAGAAUGUAGAAUAAACCGUUUUUAGGUUUCUUUGAUGCAGGAAAUGGAAUCAGAAGAAUUCAGGUUGAAACCCAUUCUCACAGACUGUCAAAUGUCAAAGGAGAAGGAAAUAAAAGACAGACGACAGCGGACUAAUGUCACACACAAAGGACUCUCUGAGGACCGAGACAAGGCGAGGGUCACGUCACCCACAGAGACGGUCAAAGUCUUUCAGUAGGGAGCAUCUCCAGCUCAUCUGCUUGUACUGUAAAAAGGUAACAACUGUCGUAUACACUCAGUAAAACAGUAAAACUAGUUUACAGUGAGGUGUAGAAUGUGGUAAAGCUCCUUAAUCAACCUGCUGCCUUUCUUUAUUCUUUCACCUCCAUUUAGUUUGGACAAAGCAGGACCUUAAGAUAUUACCUCCUCGCUGUGAUUCAGACGGGAUCAGUUCAAACACAACUUCUAGUUAAUGUCAAGGUCCCUUUGAUAUAAUUCAAUGUUUGUAUUGCAGUUCUAUAAUCAGUGAGUUUCCCCUGAUGAAAGACGAAUAUCAGAUAAUGACGAGGACACGGCUCCUUGCACCUGGAGGAAAACCCAAUAAUGUCAUUUUCAAUAAUCAAUUCCAAAUUAAAUGUAUCCGUCCAUCC